CUUCCGCUCUCGCAGCAGGAAUGGUGGAACGGGACUCUGGUUCUAUUUUGUGGGGUUUCCCUACUGAACUGGGGCCAGGGUUGAGAGGGACGGCCAGGGGCAUUCGUAUUGCGCCGCCAAAGGGGAAAUUCUUGGACUGGCGCAAGACGGGUCAGGGCGAAAGCAUUUGCCAAGAAUGUUUUCAUU